CCUACGGGGGGCUGCAGUGAGGAAUAUUGGUCAAUGGGCGCGAGCCUGAACCAGCCAAGUCGCGUGAGGGAAGACGGUCCUAUGGAUUGUAAACCUCUUUUGUCGGGGAGCAAAAGACGCCACGCGUGGCGUUCCGAGAGUACCCGAAGAAAAAGCAUCGGCAAAAUCCGUGCCCGCAGCCGCGGUAAUACGGAGGAUGCGAGCGGUAUCCGGAUUUAUUGGGUUUAAAGGGUGCGCAGGCGGGAUAUUAAGUCAGCGGUAAAAUUGAGGGGCUCAACCUCGUCGAGCCGUUGAAACUGGUUGUAUUGAGUGAGUGAGAAGUAGGCGGAAUGCGUGGUGUAGCGGUGAAAUGCAUAGAUAUCACGCAGAACCCCGAUUGCGAAGGCAGCAUUCCGGCGCCCUACUGACGCUCAGGCACGAAAGUGUGGGUAUCGAACAGGAUUAGAUACCCCUGUAGUC
rnacentral:rRNA from 1 species